AUAGUGCAUACGUAGAUACAAAUAAAUGUUAUUUUAUAAAAAAUAUCAUAUAAAAAACUCAAGGAUUUUAGAUCCUGAUGAUCGUUAAACGCGUCAUAACAGUGUUGUGAAAAGGGUGUAAUUGUUAAAAAUAGGUACAAACAUCAGAUAUAAACAAAAACCUAAACAAACACUUCUAUGUACAUAACGUCAUAAAAAUACUUGUUUUAUGUACCUCGCGCUGCCGUCCUUGUACUGCCGUGAACAGGAAAUUCUGGGAAUGGAGGACGGAGAGUUGAAUCGAUUCGUCUUCAACAAACCGAUCAGUGUGACAUCAAAACAUCGCGAGAACAACAGACAGCUCCGUGUGCAUUUGAAUCCAUCUCGCGAUAUUGUAUCACUUCAGGUACGCGCCUACUGAUUCGUUGAUUCAAACGAGUUGUGAAUCAAGAAGCCUCUAAAGAUCCGAAUCAAACUGCAGCAGCACGCCACGAGGUUUUGCUCAGACUUUUGGGACGUUUGGAAUUGCUCCGUCUUGUCACCAUGUAACACAUAGCAGCAAGACCCAUGGGAUUUCAUCAGCUACUCACCAUCAGAGUCCUCAGUGGAAGCUGAGAAGAGCAGAAGAGGAAGCCAAGCAAGAGAUGCCAGAAAAAAGGGGGAAGGAAAUAAUGUGUUAUUUUGCUGUUUGAGUAUAGGCAGGCGCAGUGGGUAGCACAAUCGCCUCACAGCAAGAAGGUCGCUGGUUCGAGCCUCGGCUGGGUCAGUUGGCAUUUCUGUGUGGAGUUUGCAUGUUCUCCCCAUGUUAGCGUGGGUUUCCUCCGGGUGCUCCCACAAGUCCAAAAAUAUGUGGUGACAUUGGGUAAGGUAAAAUUGUCCGUAGUGUAUGUGUGUGAAUGAGUAUGUAUGGAUGUUUCCCAGUGAUGGGUUGCAGCUGGGUGGCAACACGGUGGCACAGUAGGUAGUGCUGUUUCCUCACAUCAAGAAGGUUUCUGCAUGGAGUUCUCCCUGCGUUCGCGUGGGUUUC
rnacentral:lncRNA from 1 species